rnacentral:rRNA from 1 species
CGGCUGGCUAGGUGACAGGUGCUGCAUGGCUGUCGUCAGCUCGUGUCGUGAGAUGUUGGGUUAAGUCCCGCAACGAGCGCAACCCUCGCCUUUAGUUGCCAUCAUUAAGUUGGGUACUCUAAAGGAACCGCCGGUGAUAAGCCGGAGGAAGGUGGGGAUGACGUCAAGUCCUCAUGGCCCUUACGCGUUGGGCUACACACGUGCUACAAUGGCAACUACAGUGGGCAGCGAACUCGCGAGGGUGAGCUAAUCUCCAAAAGUUGUCUCAGUUCGGAUUGUUCUCUGCAACUCGAGAGCAUGAAGGCGGAAUCGCUAGUAAUCGCGGAUCAGCAUGCCGCGGUGAAUACGUUCCCAGGCCUUGUACACACCGCCCGUCACACCAUGGGAGUUGGAUUCACCCGAAGGCGCUGCUCUAACCCGCAAGGGAGGAAGGCGACCACGGUGGGUUUAGCGACUGGGGUGAAGUCGUAACAAGGUAGCCGUAGGGGAACCUGCGGCU